GCCUCCCAGCCAACAUCUUACUCCCGUGCUUGAUGUUUCCUGACCUCGAACAUCGAACUCCAGGUUCUUAGGCUUUGGGACUCCGACUGGCUUCCUUGUUCCUCAGCUUGCAGAUGGACUAUUGAGGGACCUUGUGAUCAUGACUGGUGUCCUCAUCAGAAGAGGAAGAGACAUCAGAAGCAGGUCUGCACAGAGGAGAAGCCAUGCUGGGAUACAAUGAGAGGGCAUCUGUCAGCAAGCCAAGGAGAGAAGCCUCAGGAGAAACCACAGCUAUCGACACCUUGAUUUUAGACUUCCAACCUCCAGAAAUGUGAGAAAUACAUUUAUGUUGUUUUAGCCACCCACUCUGUGAUACCGUGUUAUGGCAGCCCUAGAAGACUAAUAUACAAAUAACUAGUUGUGAAACUGAAAACUUCUGAAAAAAUCUUUAUAAAACAUCAAAUAUUAUUAACCUUGAUUGUAAAAAGACUGAAUUUUCUUUCUACUAUCUUUAUAGAGAAAGAUAAUACAAAAUAUUUGUAAUAUGAAUACGAAGUGAAAAAAUGUAAGAAAAAAGUAUUAUAGAGAUGUAUUAGGUAGCUGAUUAAAAAUGUUAUUUUUCUAGAGUUUGCAAUCCUUGUUAUUGUUGCACAGAUUUUUAAAAUGUGCAAUUUUUGCUUUUUGUCCUUAUUCUAAAUGUUCACUCUCAUAUUUGAGUAUGCAUUUGUAAUUUUGAAUUAUUUCUUAAAGUAGGCUCCUCAAAUUGAGUAAACCUCAGGUUUUACAUAAUCUGAAUCUAUCCCUGGUUAAAAGUUCUGGCUUUAAAACCAGAGUGACCUGAAUCUGCACACAACUUCAGUAUUAUCACUGUCUGUGACUUGGGAAAUAUUUCAAAGGACUUAGGUCUUCUAUAACAACACCUACCGCAUGAGAGUGUUGUGUUAAUUAAAUGGCAUAGCUGCAUAUAAAAUGACUAGCAGAGUUAUCUUCUUAUACUUCUUUGGUGGGCUUCAAAAUAUUGUACCCCAACAAAAGUGACACAUGACAACAAAACUGUAUUGUUACACUUUUUUGGGGGUACAAUAUUUUGUUUAAGGUCUUGUGUCACUUAAUGAUAGGGAUACAUUCUGAGGAAUGUGUUGUUAGGUAAUUUUGUCAUUAUGUGAACAUCAUAGAUUGUACUUAUGCAAACCUAGAUGGUUGAACUUACUACACAUCUGGGCUAUAUGGUAAGGCCUAUUGCUCCUAGGCUACAAAGCUGUACAGUAUGUGAUAGUAAUGAAUAUUGUCACCAAUUAUUACACAUUGGUAUUUAUGUAUCUAAACAUAGCUAAAUAUUUUUAAAAGGUACAUUAAAAGCAGUAUAAAAGAUAAAAAAUGGCCAUGUGCAGUGGGUCGCACCUAUCAUCCCAACACUUUGGAUAGACAAGGUAGGAGGAUCACCUGAGCAUAGGAGUUUAACACCAAGCUUAGGAACAUAGUGAGACACCGUCUCUAAUAAAGCAAACAAAAAUUAGCCAGGUAUGGUGGCAUGCAACUGUGGUUCCAGCUACUUGGGGGGCUGAGAUGGGAGGAUCACUUAAGCCCAAGAGUUUGAAGCUGCAGUAAGCCAUGAUCGUGCCAUUGCACUCCAGCUUGGGUGACAGAAUGAGACACGGUCUUGGGAAAUUUUUUUUAAAUUAAAAUUUAAAAUGAUACAUAUUUCUGAACCCCUUGAGUCCUAUAAAGAAAAAUUGAAUAUCAAAUUUAAUAGGCCAGCUACAUUAUAAUCUUAUGGGACCACUAUUAUAUAUGCAAUCUGCUAUUAAUCAAAAUGUCAUUAUGCAGUGAGUGACUAUAUAUACAUUUAUGUAAAUAAUACAUUAUAAAAGAAAUGAACAAUAAACAUUUAUUAACAUAUUUUAAUGAGCUUUUGAUGUUCCUAAUAAAGUUAGACUGCUAUGGUUUUAAUGUAUGUUUUUCCCCAAAUUUAUAUGUUGGAAUUUAAACUUCAAAAUAAUGAUAAGAAGAGGUGAGGCCCUUAGAAGGUGUUUAGCUCAUGGGUGCUCCACACGCAAAAUGGAAUUAGAGCCUUUAUAGAAAGACUUGAGGAAAAUAGCUAGACCCUUUCUUGCCCUUCUUCCCUUCUGACUUCCUCUAGUGAGGACACAGAAUUUGUCCCACUCAGAGGAUGCAGCAAUACGGUACCAUCUCAGAAGCAGAGAGUAACCCUUUGCCAGACACCAAAUCUGCUGGCCCCUUGAUCUUGGACUUUCCAGCCUUCAGACCUGCGAGAAAUAGAGUUCUAUUCUUUAUGAAUUAUCCAGUCUGUGGUAUUUAUAGUUAUAAUAUCAGGAAUAAACUAAGGCCCAGGGGAAUUUUAUUAAAAGGGAAAAUAUGAAGCCGCUGCAAUCCUAAUGGAAAGGCACAAGGAAAAGAGUGAAAAGUAUAGAAACUGACUAUACAAUUUUGUUCUGGGUUAGCCCAGUGGGAACAGAAAUUAGGCCUAUUAUCUCCACCAACCUCAGAAGAUGAGAAUAACUGAGAAAGUUCACCCAAUGUAUCUAAUAUUAUGUAGAACUAUUUAGGUCAAAUUCUUUUUUUACAGGACUAUAAAAAAUUACAGAUGAUGCCUAUGUCUGUGCAUAUUUAUUCAGUCUCUCAUUUAAACAGAAAGUCAAUUCAGACGCUUUGUUUCCCAUACACAUAGAGACAGUUUGAGCCACAGUUAAGGUUUCUAGGAUUUAAUGGCCAAUCUAUAGGAACUUUAUCUAUGUAACUGCUGCACCAAAUUCUUUAAUAUGUCAUUUUCUUCACUUUUAUUUUACUUCCCUUACUUCUGUUUAAGAAAAUUUUCAGGUCCAAACAUCUUAUUUAAACUCAUUUUUUUUUGUAUUUCAAUCUCUUUCACAUUUCUGUCCACUUUAAUUUUUUUUCUUUUUUCUCUUUCAUGAGUUUGUCCCCAGUUGGCAUCUUCUCUUCUAUGCUAGGAUUUAUUUUUUUUUAAAAGUUUUAGAUGAAAUGAAAGAUAUGAGAGAUAUAAAUGAAAGUGGCAUAAAAACUCCAAAGCUAAGGAAGGUAAUAGAAGGAGACAUUUUAAAAUUAAAUGCAAACAGUGGCUCAGAGAGUACAAACAAAAGCAGGUGGAAAGAGGACAAUCUCCAGCAUCCAGAACCAGAAAUGGUUCUAAAAGGUCAGUGCAUGAAGCACACAGCCAGGUCAGCAAACAUUUCUCUCUCCUCUGGCCAGAGAAGUAAAUAGAAAAUUCACAGGAGACUUGAACAGUAAAGGAACAGUAAAUAAAAUUGCUACUUGGACGCCAAAGAGACAAGAUUUGCACCAAACAAGAGUUUUAAGUUUAAAAAUCACAUGAAGGCACCUGAGGCUAGAUCCACAAAAAUUUCUGAAGACAUAAAUAUUCUGAUACGGUCUGAGAUAUUGUUGAAAAACUAAAUUCUCUAACAGAAAAGAGAUGAGAGUUUAAUUUCUUUUGUUUGCUCUUUCCUAGCUGUGUGACCUGUUAAAAUUUAUUCAACCCCUCUGAGCCUCAGUUACCUAUCAAUCAUUAACUGAACAACACAUGUCAGGUCAUCACAUAGAUUAAAUACAUGAAAAUUGCUGAGGACAGUAUAACACAAAACCUUACCAAAUUGUAGUUUGCUUCCUAAGAGACUGGAUUACUAAAUUGAGAGACUGUUUCCAUGGUCAAUAAAACUGAAAAAAGUAUAAUCUGAACAUAGUUCUGGAUUGUUAUUUAGAAGGUGUGCAAAAUUGUAAAUGACUCAUUCUCAUAAAAAAGCAGCUUUCUUUGGUUCUUAUAUGCCUCAGGCUCUCCACAGCCAAAAAAUGAAUUAGAUAAAUGAACAAGUUCUGGGUAAGAUUCAAGUACAUACUUCAUUGGAGUACUUCAAAAUAAAGCAACACUGUCCUGGGCUAUGAAGGGAUACAAAAGUUAUAUAUGUUCCAACCCUCAAAGGAAAUAUUGUAUCCUUGCAUCAAUAAGGGAACCAGGAAUGGAACAAUGGAAAAUAUUGGAAGUUUAUAGUAAGUAGAAUUGUAAGUAAAAUGAUAACAAACAGGUAAAAUCACAUAUAGGAAAUUUAGCAUCAAAAUUUGGCCUAUAGACCAGGGAUAAUCAAACUUAACUAUGUAUCAUAAUCACCUGGAAGGCUUGGUGAGUUGCUGAUUUAAUAAGUAGCUUGGGUUGAGGCCCAAGAAUUUGGAUGUCUAGCAUUCACAUGUGAUGUAGCUGCUACAAAGGGGAUUGCAAUUUGCAAAACAUACCUAGAGCACCAGAAAGCCAUUUAAAGAUCAGUCUAGUUAAUUUCAGAUAACUUCUGUAUCUUGUAGAGACGGCACAGUGUGAUGCCCAUAAUAUACAUAUACACACACACAGGCGCAGGUGCACACACACACGAGCACACACACACAUGUGCAGGUGCACACACACACACGAGCACACACACACAUGUGCAGGUGCACACACACACACGAGCACACACACACGAGCACACACACACAUGUGCAGGUGCACACACACACACGAGCACACACACACAUGUGCAGGUGCACACACACACGAGCACACACACACAUGUGCAGGUGCACACACACACACGAGCACACACACACCGCAGAAAAACAUCAGGAAUAUUUAGUUGGAUUGUGUUAGGAGUUUCUUUCUCCCGUUAGAGAUCCUCAGCCUCAGCUAUUGCUUUUAGAUGAACAUGCAGCCUCUCCCUGCUCAGAUGCAGAUUCCCUUCCUCAUCAUAGGGUUUUUUUUCUGUUAACCACAGUGUGUGAUUUCACAUGUUAAUAUAAAAACAAUUCAGAAAUACUGGGGAAAAUAUUAUUUCUGUCUGUAGUUGCUCCUCUGAUAUUUAUGAGACCCGCCUGGUUUCCUUACUUGUGGAGUUUCUAGAUGAUAGUACAACAUUUAAACAUAUUUUUUAAAAUAUUAUUACAAAUAUUAACUAAAAUUACUGAAAAACUAAUAUUCUUUUAAAAUUAUAAUUUUACAAUUAUGACAUAAGUACUCUACACUUAUACAAUACUUAGGAAAAAAAUCACCAGUUAGAUGAAGCUAUCAUUUUUUGUAGAUUCUCAUUUUCCCUUUCUUCUAUUCAUGUAUAUACCAUGUUUCAAAGAAUAAGAUCAGGACUUGCAUUUUGAUCUGUAACCUGUUUUUGUGAUGUAACAAUCCACUAUAAAUCACCUUCAUGUCAACAAAAAUGUAUCUAAAAUAUGAGAUCACACAACAUUUUAAAAGGUAUGACUUUUCAACAAUGUUUUUUAAUUUUCUCCCUUAUUUCCUGGUUUUAGGGAAUUGAAUAUAUAACUUAAAAGACUAGUUUGUUUUAUAUUGUGAAUUUCUAUUAUUGGCUGUUUGUACUUUCCUGCCCGUAAGUAUAAUUGAGUUAUGACUGUGCUUUCUAUUACUGAAUAUAUCUUAUCUGUUUUUCAGGUCCACCUUAGGAUAAAUUUGAAAGCAUAAAGCCACCUAUCAAUAAAGACAUAUGUACAACUGACUCCAUGAAAAAAUGUAGCUUUCUUUGAUUAGAUGCCUGACACUUUCUGAAGGACCUUGAGAAUUUUACUCAUUUAUGGAAAGAUAAUUUCCUACUAAUGAAACGUGGGAUUAAAAGUUGAAUCAAAGAAAAUUCAAUAGCUAAUUAUAAUCUGUGACAAUUGGGGUCUCUUAACCAGUGAGAUGAUCUGUAACUAACAGAAUUAUUGCUAGGAGACAGGGAAAAAGAAAUAUUUUUUUAAAAGAUUCAGGAAAAAAUAUUUAUCAAGUUUGGUGGAAAAUAUAUAGAUUUAUUAAUUCAUUUAUAAACAGCAUAAUAUCCAAUGUUAUGUUCUUAUUAAUUACGAGUUUUGGUGAGUCAUUUUGAAGAAUUUAAGAAUGUUUUAUAGAAGCUAGCUAAUUUUAUUUUGUUCCUUUUUAAAUAAAUUUUAAAAUGAAAUAAUAAGUCACAGGAGUUUUUCUCACAUGUAAAUCUCUAAGUCAGACUAUUG
rnacentral:lncRNA from 1 species